rnacentral:rRNA from 1 species
UCUCCUCUGCUAAAUAGUCGGCUGGAUCUUGAAUUGCUGAGUUGCUCAUUGCCACGUUCGCGUGCGCUUAGCUUCCUGUGGCGUGCUCUGGGGUCCCCGUUUGGGUGUGGGGUGUGCUUGGUCUUGUUGUGUGUUGGCUCACUUUGUGGGGGUUUUUCGCUCUCGGCGUCGUG